AAGUCGUAACAAGGUUUCCGUAGGUGAACCUGCGGAAGGAUCAUUAUCGAAUGAACUUGAACAGGCUGUUGCUGGCCCCUCUCAAGGGGAAUGUGCACGCUUGUCAUUUUUAUCUUCUCCAUCUUGUGCACACAUUGUAGACCCUGGGAGACCCUUUUGGGUUGUUUGUUAUAACAGAUUAGAGAACUGCUGUGCUUCUUUGAAGUCGGCUUUGUCUUGCAUCUUCCAGGUCUAUGUUUAUUUCUUUUACACCCAAAACCUUCAGAAUGUACAUAUGAAAAGUUAAUACAUAUACAACUUUCAGCAACGGAUCUCUUGGCUCUC
rnacentral:misc_RNA from 1 species